rnacentral:lncRNA from 1 species
CUUAUUACAAGAAUAAAUACAAAGGUCUGAUGUUACAAAGGUUCACAUCAGCACAGCGACACUACGCCUGCGAUACUACACUUGCUCUAUGCUAGCAGCGGAACAACUCGUAGCAGCGGAAAUUUGCUGGCAGCGGAACAACGACGAAGGUGGUGAACUCCACUCCGCAGGGACUCUGGCUGGGACACGAUCUAGCUCGCACGAACGGAAACCAUGACAAGAAAUCAAGCAAUCAUGGCAUCACUUGCAAUCUGGCAUGACACGCCAGGUCAGUACAUUGAAUGUACUUGCAAGCUCACAACAACCAAAAACAUCAAGGCAAGACAACAACAUAGCAUUAAGCAGGUUAAUUAAAUUAACAUCUACCAUGAUAUAACAGUAACUCCAAGCAUAAUAUGAAACUACUACCAUACUGAUAAAUCACCAUCUUUGAUCUCCAUAACCAUAUCUCUCUUGUCUAACUGGACAAACAAUAUACCAUCUCGAUCACCACAUGAUCAAACCAAACUGUAACCGUGAUCCUUACGGCGAUCACUAUGUCACAUCCUAGUUAGCCAUGCAUUAGAGUGUUGCAUCAUGUUUACUCUUUCAUCAGAAACUUGAAAUGGGGAUCUGUGAAACCCUCAGAAGCUUUUUGAAAAUGACCCAAAUAAAAAUUUCUCCAAAAAGGUCCAAGAAAAUGCUCAUGUUGCUCUCUGAAAAUAUUGGACAGAGAUAAAAAUCAAACCAAUAUUUUAAGAGCUCAUAGGUAUUUAUUUUGGGCAUUUGGAAUUAAUGCAUAAAUAUUUGCAUUGGAAAUAUAUUAGUUAUAUAUAUUAAUAUAUGUCCAAAUAUUAUGCCAACUAUAAAGGAGCUCUGGAAUAAUAUAUAUAGCUCCUGCAAAAAUUGGCAUAAGUUAAAUAAAUGAUUUAAUAUAUUAUUUAAAUCAAAACAAAUGUCAGAAAUUAGAAAACAGAAAAUAAUUAACAGGAGGAGCUUACCUGGGCUCCUCCACUGUGCGGCCCAGCCAGCUGGCUGGCCCAGCCAGCAGCCGGCCCAGCCCACCUCCCUCCUCUGUCGUCUUCGUCCCGACAGAGGGAGGGGAGUGUGGCCGGCGCGCGCGCGCGCCACCGCGCCACGCCACCUCUCUCCUUGCCUGCCUGCCCUCCCCUCCUCGCCUCGAUGCCCUGGACGACGCCACGCCUCUCCCCCUGCUCUCUCUCACUCUCCCCCGGCUCUCCCUCCUCCCCUCGCUCUCUCUCUCACACGGCCGAACACCCCCGUCGCCGCCGUUCGCCACAGCAGCCGUCUCCGGCCACCCCUCGCUUCCCCGACUAGCUCAGAAGCUCCGCCAUGACCCGCUCUUCCUCCCCACCGCUCCACGGUCCUCCAGAAGCCCUGCAUCGCCGCCACGUCGCCGUUCCCCUCCUCGGGCUCCGACCACCGUCGCCGUCGAUUCGCCGUCUCCAGCGCGUCCCCGAGCCCGCUUCGACGCCCACUGCAACCGCGGUGAGCUACGCCACCGUUUCCCCCUCUCCUCCCCCUCGUUCCCCCACCGUAGCCUCCUCCCCACCACGGCCGAACCUCCGCCGUCGCCGAGCUCGCCGUCGACGCAGCUCCGGUGACCAUUUGGUCACCCCGGCGAGUCCAACGAGUUCGCAAGACCCCGUAGAGCAUCCCUAGCGCCUCGCUUCGCUCGCCUUCGAGCUCCAACCCUGUUCCCGUGCACGACCGAACCCCGGCGGCCGCAGCCGAGCUCGCCGCCGUCGACUCCGGCCACCCCAGGCCCAGCCACGGCCACCGUUCGACGCGCGGGAGCAAGAGCUUUCCAACGAGCCCAAGCACGGCCUCUCCCGUGCCCUAUAGCGCGAUUCCGCACCGCGCCGCCGUCUCGGGCCUCGCCGGCGUUACGUCGCCGGUGGGUUUGACCCACUUUGACCAUGGCAGGACACCCCCUGAGUCCCUGACAGGUGGGCCCAGCCCUGUAGCUAAUUAGGAUUAGCGCUAACCACUGUUAGUUAACCCCCUGACACUGACUAGUGGGCCCCAGCGCCACUAAUUAGUAAUUAGGAUUAAAUUAACCCUGUUUAACCCCCCUGUCACUGACGUGUGGGCCCCACACGUCAGGUUUGACUUCAGCCAGCCGCAGUUGACCACUGACGUCAUGCUGACGUCAUGCUGGCGCAAUAAUUAUAAUUUCUGGAUUUAAUUUAAAUCAGGAAAUUCCAGAAUAUUAUUUAAACUUCAAAAAUUCAUAACUUUUAUUCUGUAACUCCAAAUUGGACAAAUUAUAUAUGAAAAAUGAUCAGAAAAAUCCAAUCUACCCAUCUGUACUAUUUUCAUGCAUGAUCAAAACAGUUAAAUUGAUGUUUCAAGCAGAACAAGGAAAAGCACUUUAAAAGGCCAUGUUUGAGUUUGAAAUUUGAAUCUAUGAUUCAAAUUUGUUCAAACCCUUCUGGUUUUAGUUGCAUUAGCCCAACACACUCAUAUUGCCAUGUUUCAUGCAUGCAUCAUAUUGUUGCACAUUGUUUGGUGAUGGUUGUGUAUCGGUGUCCUUUGCGACAGGUUCUGCCUCCGAGGAGUACCGUGAUUACCCUAACGAAGAACCGUAUCAGUGCAUCGAACCAUCAGGCAAGCAACCAACCAUUUGAUCAUAUCGAUACAAUCCCAUGUUCUCGCUCCUGCUCUCUUUUACUGCAUUAAGACAACGCGUUUCAAACUGCUGUGUGCUACGGUAGUUGAACCCAUUUCCUCUGCAUGACCUGUCAUUGCCACAGUAACUAGAUGAAACCCAGUAGCAUGUGUAGGAGUUGAUUGAGCCAUGUGUAUGUGUUGUUCCUACCUUGCUAUGCCUGCUAUGCUUAGAGUCGUGUCAGGUCUGGUUCAUCUGGGUGAUGGGCUAGAGUGAAAUGUUAAUGUCGGUAAUGAGAGUGGUGUGGUGAACACGAUUUGGUAAAGGUAUCGAUGAGAGGCCAUGUAGGAGUACAUGGUGGGUUGUUUCAUUGAAGCCGACCUUAAGCACUGAGAUCUGUAUAUGUGAUUUAAGAUACAGCUACUACCAUGCAUUGGGCCCUGAAAUAUGACCCCGCUCGACUUCUUAUUCACCCUAGCUCUCUGUCCAGGAGUUGCAAGUAGUUUCUGGUGUUUGUAGCCUACUGGAGGCCGUGGACAACGCUGACCGUAGGGGUGGGCUGUGAUGCGGUAGGUACGUGGCCGGGUGUACCGAAUACCCGUUAGGUAUCUCGGGAACCCUGUUCACAUCGUUCGGGGCCGUAUGGGAAACCUCGGCCGGACUCCCUACGGAUGGAACCUGAAUAGGCGAUAAACCUGGACUAGAGGCUUAAGUGUUUAGGUAGGUCGUGGUCUACACCCACGUCGGCUUUUGCUUGAAGUCUGCCGAGCACAUGUCGUGUGCAGACGCUAAGUGGUGGAAACAUGUAUGAAGAAGUACACCCCUGCAGGGUUAACAUGAUCUAUUCGAAUAGCCGCGUCCGCGGUAAAGGACUACUUGGUUGCCUAUACAGUUCAUAGACAAGUAAAUGGAAACUACUAAAAGCCUCAAGAUAAGUGUGAGUGCCGAGGAGGGCUCUUCCGUAGGAAGACGGAGGUGGAUCCUCGGUAGUGUAUUGAAGUGGUGAGUAGUGGACUCGUGUGCGCAAAACCAUUUCAAGUUGGAGUAUCGUAGGAUAGCCUAGCCAAGAGUCAAAGCUGGCUUGCUGCAAUAACUCCACCAACCCUUCUUGAUAAUAUGCAUGUAUGUAGGAUCUGAUGUAAGUCUUGCUGAGUACCUUUGUACUCAUGUUGCUAUAAUCUACAUUUUUACAGAAGACGCUGCAACCCCUUCUGAUGGGUUCUAUGUAGACGUUGACAUCAACGAGUAGGCUAAAGACCCAGGUGGUGACCCUGAGCUUGUGAAGGACCACGUAGUAUAGAAGGCUUUCCAAGCCUCUUUUAUUUUGCUAGUUGUCUAUACUCAGACAAGUUACUUCCGCUGUUGGUUUGUAUGACUGUAUGACUUGUAUGUCGGGUCGUGAGACCCGUACCUUUGUGUAUGUUAUGUAUGGCUCCCUGAGCCUUAAAUAAAGUACUUGUGUCAUAGAGUCAUGUUGUGAUGCUUCGUUGUAUUUGCACAUAUCGAGCAUAUUGUGUGUAUGAUUGAAAUGCUUGGUAUGUGUGGGAUCUGACUAUCUAGUUGUUUAUCUUUAGUAGCCUCUCUUACCGGGAAAUGUCUCCUAGUGUUACCGCUGAGCCAUGGUAGCUUGCUACUGCUCUGGAACACUUAGGCUGGCCGGCAUGUGUCCUUCUUCGUUCCCGUGUCUGUCCCUUCGGGGAAAUGUCACGCUUUGAGUACCGGAGUCCUGUUAGCCCGCUACAGCCUGGUUUACCGGAGUCCUGUUAGCCCAGUGCUACAGCCCGGACCCACUUGCUGAUGACCGACACGUUCGAAGCUGGGUCAUGGAUGCCUGUCCCUGUAAGUCUGUGCCACUUUGGGUUUACGACUAGUCAUGUCAGCCCGGGCUCCUUAUCAUAUGGAUGCUAGCGACACUAUCAUAUACGUGAGCCAAAAGGCGCAAACGGUCCCGGGAAAAGGUAAGACGAUACCCGUGGGGAUACCGUGCGUGAGGCCGCAAAGUGAUAUGAGGUGUUACCGGCUAGAUCGAUGUGACAUCGAGUCGGGGUCCUGACAGCGUUGGCAUCAGAGCCAGACUGCCUGUAGGUUCUCCAAGCCAAACUGGUCGAUGUUGAGUCUAGAAAUUCUUUAGUUAUAUGUAGGGGAAUUGUUUGUGGGUUGGAACGUAAGGCUCUUUUUACUCCUUAUACCUUAUGACUUUCUGAUCUGAGUCAGUCCAUUCUUCCACCGGGGUUAAGGAAUUAGGAUCUGUUCUCUCUAUCAGGAUCACGAGUUACUAAUCAGUAGUACCUUAUAAGUUUGAUGGUUACAAGCCUAGUUCAGUUCUACUACCACCUUAUGUUGUUAGAAUGGUUUCAGAACUUUGAUAUGAUGAUGUUGAGUAUGUACGAAAUCCUUUGUCAAAUGUCUCAAAAUCCUUUUUGAGCAUUUACAGCUGUUAUGCUGCCGAAAUUUUGCUAGAAGUUCUAAUGCCUUUGCAUUAUGAUUGUGCUUUCAGAUGGCCACUCGCGACCUCAAUCAAGUGGUUCGCCUGACUCGAUGCCUAGAUGUACCCGGCCAUACUGCUAAGUUGGUCAGGGUAAUGACUGAGGCUGGAUACCGCUGGUAUCCUGAGUACACGGUCGAAGAGCAAUUCCGGGACUUCAAUCAAAGCUAGUAUCUCUACACUGUCAGGAUAUUUCCAUCUUAUCCUGGAUCCACCGAGCCUCUUCACUGCUCCUAUGGACUCGGGGUUACUAUUGAGAUGGCUGUGCAGGACGCCGCCUACUCUAUGAUGACCAUUAUGCGAGUCAGAUCUGGUUUAUUUCGGGACUCUGAUUUCCGGUAUAUGCCAGGAUCACUUCCGGGAGCACAAGGGUAUCUCCAGGCUAUCUAUGCUGACCCCACUCAGGAGGAUUCACGGACUCGCACCACUGCUGAGAUGCUCGAGGAUAAGGACCGUGAAAAUCGGGCCUUGAGGUUAGAGCUCUUCAAUACCCGUGCUGACCACUGGGCCACUUUGACUCGGUUCGCACCGGCGGUGCAAGCUGGAUAUUCGGAUAUGCGCGAUCUCUAUCCUGUGAGAUCUGCUCUGCCGGACGUGAUGGUUUGGCGUGAUGUAGGAGGCAUCACCCCACCUCGCGGUCCCCGUAGGCCACCGUUUGUUGGUCCAAGGCCUCAUCCUAGCCCCUAUGGUCCACAAGCUCCGCGAGACCGUCUGUUUCCGGAUGAUCAUGUUGAGCUUCCAGGCUAUGGAGGUGACUUCUACGAGGACUACUACGGAUCGGUCUGAGUUAGCGGUAGUAUCACUAGUUCGCACUAGCUGUGUCGUCUAUCGUCCUGCGUGACUCGUGGGAUAUGACCUAGUUUGUACUCUUUCCGGAGGUGUAGAAAAAUAAUGUAUAGGAUCUUGGGAUGCCUCCGAUAAGAUGUAAUCCUCUUUCACCGUAAUAGUACUUUGUUUGGUCUUGUACUAAACCCUGUAUGGUGUGUAUGACGAUGGAAUAAAGAAGCAGUUUCUGUAUUUACCAUGUCAUACGGAUGAUCAUCUUGCAUUUCGAGUUAUACCUUACAUUUUAUAUCCUAUGUCGGAAUUUUAUCAUCCUGACUAAAUCAUUGUCUUGUUACCUAGGAUGGUCAACACGCGCGCUAACCCUGCUUCCCAAGAGCAGGCCGAAGGCAGUGAAGCCAGGGAUGCAAAUCUGCCUCAUCCUCCUUCACUAGCCGAGGUUAUGAUGGAAGCUGAGAGAAACAAGCGGGAGACCAACCGUUUGUUGGAGCGUAUUGAACAGAAUACAGCACACCAUCAGAGGGCUAACGUGGUGUCACUCAGUGAUUUUAUCAAAUUGCAUCCACCCACGUUCCACCACUCCGUCGAGCCUCUCGACGCUGAUGACUGGCUUCGCAGUAUCUCUCACAAACUGCGUUCCGCGCUGGUAGCGGAGGCUGACAAGGUCACCUUUGCUGCAUAUCAUCUUGAAGGCCCCGCCAGUCUAUGGUGGGAGAAUUAUGGAGCUAUGCGCCCAGCGGGCCAUGUCACUACUUGGGCUGAGUUCAGCGAGGCUUUCCGUGAACAUCACAUUCCGGAGGGUCUCAUGGACCGUAAACGUGAAGAAUUUUGUAGUUUCACCCAAGGUCGACUUUCUGUGGAUGCCUAUAGCAGGGAGUUUGGUAAUCUCGCCCGAUAUGCAACUGAGGAAGUUUCUACUGACGCCAAGAAGCAAGCAAGGUUCCGUAAGGGCCUUAGUCCCGAGCUUCGCUGCGAUCUCCGUCUGCAUGAGUGCACAUCUUUUCAGAAACUUGUCAACAAAGCCAUCAGUGCUGAAACUGGUCAGACUGACUAUGACGCAACCCGCAAGCAUGGCCGCGACAUGGGUUCCUCAUCCGGUGCUGGUCCUCAGAAGCGCCGCGUGUGGGUACCCAACACCGCCCUGCCACCCAGGUUCACACCGAGGCCAUCUUUCCAGGCGCCUCGCCCCGUUCAACAGUCUGCUCCAGCCAAGCCCUAUGGGGGUCCAAUCAAUAAUGCUCCUCCACGUACCAGUUCCGUGACCUGUUUCAAGUGUGGGGAAUCUGGUCACUAUAUGCGUGAGUGUCCCCAGACCAACCCCAAUCAAUCUGCUAAAGCUGUUGGCCGUGGCAAGCCGACAGGGAAAGUGUUCCACGCCAAGCCGGUCACCGCUACACGUGGCCAUGUCAACUGUAUCUCUGCCGAAGAAGCUCAAGAGGAUCCCAACGUCGUUCUCGGUACGCUUCUUGUUAAUUGCCACCCGGCAUCUGUUCUUUUCGAUACAGGAGCCUCUCAUUCAUUUAUAUCCGAGAACUAUGCUCGUUUGCAUAACGUUGCAUUCUGUGACAUGCCAUCCACUAUGGAAAUUUCUACUCCCGGGUCUAGAUGGCAGACCUCUAGGGUAAGUUUUGGAAAUGAAAUCCAAGUCGACAGACUUGUUUUCCUCGCGUCUUUGAUAGCCCUUAAAUCUUUAGAUAUUAAUAUCAUUUUGGGUAUGGACUGGAUGUCAGCUCAUCAAGCCAAAAUUGAUUGCUUCUCUAGGACUGUUCAACUCACCCAUCCUUCGGGGAAGAUAGUCAAUGUCUUGACCCGAAUAGCCAAGCGACAAUUAUAUUCGCUUAACGCCAGCCCUUUGCCAGACCUUGAGGACAUUCCGGUAGUCCGUGACUUCCCGGAUGUCUUUCCAGAGGAAUUGCCAGGUGUUCCACCUGACAGGGAUGUUGAGUUCGUAAUAGACCUCAUUCCAGGAACCGUUCCGAUUGCUAGAAGACCUUAUAAGAUGGCACCCCUAGAACUAGCCGAGCUUAAGAAACAACUUGAUGAGUCCUUGAAAAGGGGUUUCAUCCGACCUAGCUCAUCUCCGUGGGCUUGCCCCGUCCUAUUCGUUAAGAAGAAGGAUGGUACGGACCGGAUGGUUGUAGAUUACCGACCUGUCAAUUUGGUCACAAUCAAGAACAAAUAUCCACUUCCCAGGAUCAACGAUCUGUAUGAUCAGCUCGCUGGAUCCUCAGUCUUCUCCAAGAUGGAUUUGAGGUUGGGCUACCAUCAAAUCAAAAUCAGAAACGGGGACAUUCCUAAAACGGCCUUUGUUACUCGUUAUGGCCAAUACGAGUACACCGUCAUGUCCUUCGGUUUAACCAACGCUCCAGCCACCUUUUCUCGGUUAAUGAACUCAAUCUUCAUGGAGUAUUUGGAUAAAUUCGUCGUUGUUUACCUCGAUGAUAUACUCAUCUACUCCAAGAACGAGGAAGAACAUGCCGAACAUCUAAGGCUAGUGUUGAAGAAACUUUGAGAGCAUCGCCUUUAUGCCAAAUUUUCUAAAUGUGAAUUCUGGUUGUCAGAAGUGACCUAUCUGGGUCAUGUAAUAUCUGGUAAAGGUAUUGCUGUUAACCCUGAGCGAGUUCAAGCCGUCCUUAAUUGGACUCCACCUGAAUCGGUCAAGCAAGUUCGGAGUUUUCUGGGCUUAGCGAGUUAUUGUCGUCGCUUCGUCGAGAACUUCUCCAAAGUUGCUAAACCUCUAACCGAACUCCUCAAGAAAGAUAAGAAGUUCGAGUGGACUCCACAAUGUGAGCACAGUUUUCAGGAACUGAAAAGACGCCUGACCUCUGCUCCCGUACUGGUACCGCCAGACUUUUCCAAGGACUUUGUUAUCUACUGCGACGCCUCGCGACAAGGACUAGGUUGCAUUCUUAUGCAAGAUCGACAUGUAAUUGCUUACGCUUCACGGCAAUUGCACCCACAUGAGGAGAAUUAUCCUACUCAUGAUCUAGAGCUUGCAGCCGUAGUCUAUGCACUUAAGACCUGGCGACAUUACCUCCUCGGUAAUCGUUGCGAAAUAUUCACUGAUCACCAAAGUCUGAAGUACAUUUUCACCCAACCGGAUUUGAAUCUCAGGCAGAGACGUUGGGUUGAAUUGAUCACAGACUUCGACUUAGGAAUAACCUACACCCCAGGGAAAGCCAACGUCAUGGCUGAUGUGCUAAGUCGUAAAUCUUAUUGUAACAACCUGAUGUUACAACAAAGUCAACCGCUUCUCCAUGAGGAAUUUCGGAAGCUUAACCUUCACAUUGUUCCUCAAGGUUUUCUUUCCACCUUGGUAGCAAAACCUACUCUUACGGAUCAAAUCAUCGCUGCCCAAAAGCGAGAUAAGGGAAUAUCUAAAAUCAAAGAGAACAUUGCUAGCGGAGGUGCUAGUUGUUUCUCCACAAAUGAUCAUGGUGUUGUGUACUUUGAGAACCGUCUAGUGGUUCCCAAGAACCAGCAUCUACGGCAGUUGAUCCUUAAAGAAGCUCAUGAAUCUCCUCUCACUAUUCAUCCCGGUAGUACUAAGAUGUAUCAGGACCUACGCCAGAGGUUCUGGUGGACUAGGAUGAAGAGAGAAAUUGCUCAGUUUAUUGCUAAUUGCGACGUCUGUCGCCGUGUAAAAGCAGAGCACCAACGACCUGCUGGCACCCUUCAACCCUUAGCUAUUCCUGAAUGGAAAUGGGAUAAAAUUGGUAUGGAUUUCAUUACCGGUUUUCCCAGGACCAAGAGAGGGAAUAAUGCUAUUUUCGUCGUGGUCGAUCGUCUUUCCAAAGUAGCCCAUUUCUUACCUGUUCGUGAGAUUAUAACCGCUAGUCAGCUGGCAGAUUUGUACAUCUCCCGAAUAGUGUCUCUCCAUGGUGUUCCUUUGGAAAUUAACUCGGAUCGAGGAAGUCUUUUCACCUCUCGAUUUUGGGAAAGUUUCCAAAAUGCUAUGGGAACUCGUCUCUCCUUUAGCACCGCUUUCCACCCUCAGUCGAGUGGUCAAGUGGAACGCGUCAACCAGAUUCUAGAAGACAUGCUUCGAGCCUCUGUUAUCUCAUUCGGAAUGGACUGGGAGAAGUGCCUUCCAUUUGCCGAAUUCGCUUACAACAACAGCUAUCAAUCUAGCUUGGGUAAAGCCCCUUUUGAAGUUCUCUAUGGACGACGAUGUCGAACACCCCUUAACUGGUCAGAGACCGGGGAAAGACAAUUCUUUGGCCCGGAUAUGAUUCAGGAAGCAGAAGAACAAGUUCGUAUCGUUCGUGAAAAGUUGAAAACAGCCCAAUCUCGUCAAAAGAGUCAAUAUGACCGAAAACAUAAGGCUAUGACUUUCGAGGUUGACGAGAAGGCUUAUCUUCGGGUCACCCCUCUGAAGGGAACCAAUCGUUUCGGUAUCAAAGGCAAAUUGGCUCCUCGUUACAUUGGACCUUUUCGCAUUCUUGCCAAACGAGGAGAAGUUGCCUACCAGUUGGAACUACCUCCGCACCUCUCCAGAGUUCACAAUGUCUUCCAUGUUUCUCAACUCAGGCGUUGCUUCUCGGAUCCUAUCCGUGGAGUGGACCACGAAAUGCUUGAUCUCCAAGAUAAUCUUACAUAUCGAGAGUACCCCAUUCGUAUCCUCGAUCAAGCCGAACGUACCACGCGAUGUCAUAAUAUCAAGUUUCUCAAGGUUCAAUGGUCGCACCAUUCUGAGGAUGAAGCAACUUGGGAAAGGGAGGAUCGUCUUCGACUCGAGUAUCCCGCCUUCUUCCCGGAGGAACCCAAAUCUCGGGACGAGAUUCUUUUGAGUGGGGGUGAGUUGUCACAUCCUAGUUAGCCAUGCAUUAGAGUGUUGCAUCAUGUUUACUCUUUCAUCAGAAACUUGAAAUGGGGAUCUGUGAAACCCUCAGAAGCUUUUUGAAAAUGACCCAAAUAAAAAUUUCUCCAAAAAGGUCCAAGAAAAUGCUCAUGUUGCUCUCUGAAAAUAUUGGACAGAGAUAAAAAUCAAACCAAUAUUUUAAGAGCUCAUAGGUAUUUAUUUUGGGCAUUUGGAAUUAAUGCAUAAAUAUUUGCAUUGGAAAUAUAUUAGUUAUAUAUAUUAAUAUAUGUCCAAAUAUUAUGCCAACUAUAAAGGAGCUCUGGAAUAAUAUAUAUAGCUCCUGCAAAAAUUGGCAUAAGUUAAAUAAAUGAUUUAAUAUAUUAUUUAAAUCAAAACAAAUGUCAGAAAUUAGAAAACAGAAAAUAAUUAACAGGAGGAGCUUACCUGGGCUCCUCCACUGUGCGGCCCAGCCAGCUGGCUGGCCCAGCCAGCAGCCGGCCUAUCCCACCUCCCUCCUCUGUCGUCUUCGUCCCGACAGAGGGAGGGGAGUGUGGCCGGCGCGCGCGCGCGCCACCGCGCCACGCCACCUCUCUCCUUGCCUGCCUGCCCUCCCCUCCUCGCCUCGAUGCCCUGGACGACGCCACGCCUCUCCCCCUGCUCUCUCUCACUCUCCCCCGGCUCUCCCUCCUCCCCUCGCUCUCUCUCUCACACGGCCGAACACCCCCGUCGCCGCCGUUCGCCACAGCAGCCGUCUCCGGCCACCCCUCGCUUCCCCGACUAGCUCAGAAGCUCCGCCACGACCCCCUCUUCCUCCCCACCGCUCCACGGUCCUCCAGAAGCCCUGCAUCGCCGCCACCUCGCCGUUCCCCUCCUCGGGCUCCGACCACCGUCGCCGUCGAUUCGCCGUCUCCAGCGCGUCCCCGAGCCCGCUUCGACGCCCACUGCAACCGCGGUGAGCUACGCCACCGUUUCCCCCUCUCCUCCCCCUCGUUCCCCCACCGUAGCCUCCUCCCCACCACGGCCGAACCUCCGCCGUCGCCGAGCUCGCCGUCAACGCAGCUCCGGUGACCAUUUGGUCACCCCGGCGAGUCCAACGAGUUCGCAAGACCCCGUAGAGCAUCCCUAGCGCCUCGCUUCGCUCGCCUUCGAGCUCCAACCCUGUUCCCGUGCACGACCGAACCCCGGCGGCCGCAGCCGAGCUCGCCGCCGUCGACUCCGGCCACCCCAGGCCCAGCCACGGCCACCGUUCGACGCGCGGGAGCAAGAGCUUUCCAACGAGCCCAAGCACGGCCUCUCCCGUGCCCUAUAGCGCGAUUCCGCACCGCGCCGCCGUCUCGGGCCUCGCCGGCGUUACGUCGCCGGUGGGUUUGACCCACUUUGACCAUGGCAGGACACCCCCUGAGUCCCUGACAGGUGGGCCCAGCCCUGUAGCUAAUUAGGAUUAGCGCUAACCACUGUUAGUUAACCCCCUGACACUGACUAGUGGGCCCCAGCGCCACUAAUUAGUAAUUAGGAUUAAAUUAACCCUGUUUAACCCCCCUGUCACUGACGUGUGGGCCCCACACGUCAGGUUUGACUUCAGCCAGCCGCAGUUGACCACUGACGUCAUGCUGACGUCAUGCUGGCGCAAUAAUUAUAAUUUCUGGAUUUAAUUUAAAUCAGGAAAUUCCAGAAUAUUAUUUAAACUUCAAAAAUUCAUAACUUUUAUUCUGUAACUCCAAAUUGGACAAAUUAUAUAUGAAAAAUGAUCAGAAAAAUCCAAUCUACCCAUCUGUACUAUUUUCAUGCAUGAUCAAACAAGUUAAAUUGAUGUUUCAAGCAGAACAAGGAAAAGCACUUUAAAAGGCCAUGUUUGAGUUUGAAAUUUGAAUCUAUGAUUCAAAUUUGUUCAAACCCUUCUGGUUUUAGUUGCAUUAGCCCAACACACUCAUAUUGCCAUGUUUCAUGCAUGCAUCAUAUUGUUGCACAUUGGUUGGUGAUGGUUGUGUAUCGGUGUCCUUUGCGACAGGUUCUGCCUCCGAGGAGUACCGUGAUUACCCUAACGAAGAACCGUAUCAGUGCAUCGAACCAUCAGGCAAGCAACCAACCAUUUGAUCAUAUCGAUACAAUCCCAUGUUCUCGCUCCUGCUCUCUUUUACUGCAUUAAGACAACGCAUUUCAAACUGCUGUGUGCUACGGUAGUUGAACCCAUUUCCUCUGCAUGACCUGUCAUUGCCACAGUAACUAGAUGAAACCCACUAGCAUGUGUAGGAGUUGAUUGAGCCAUGUGUAUGUGUUGUUCCUACCUUGCUAUGCCUGCUAUGCUUAGAGUCGUGUCAGGUCUGGUUCAUCUGGGUGAUGGGCUAGAGUGAAAUGUUAAUGUCGGUAAUGAGAGUGGUGUGGUGAACACGAUUUGGUAAAGGUAUCGAUGAGAGGCCAUGUAGGAGUACAUGGUGGGUUGUUUCAUUGAAGCCGACCUUAAGCACUGAGAUCUGUAUAUGUGAUUUAAGAUACAGCUACUACCAUGCAUUGGGCCCUGAAAUAUGACCCCGCUCGACUUCUUAUUCACCCUAGCUCUCUGUCCAGGAGUUGCAAGUAGUUUCUGGUGUUUGUAGCCUACUGGAGGCCGUGGACAACGCUGACCGUAGGGGUGGGCUGUGAUGCGGUAGGUACGUGGCCGGGUGUACCGAAUACCCGUUAGGUAUCUCGGGAACCCUGUUCACAUCGUUCGGGGCCGUAUGGGAAACCUCGGCCGGACUCCCUACGGAUGGAACCUGAAUAGGCGAUAAACCUGGACUAGAGGCUUAAGUGUUUAGGUAGGUCGUGGUCUACACCCACGUCGGCUUUUGCUUGAAGUCUGCCGAGCACAUGUCGUGUGCAGACGCUAAGUGGUGGAAACAUGUAUGAAGAAGUACACCCCUGCAGGGUUAACAUGAUCUAUUCGAAUAGCCGCGUCCGCGGUAAAGGACUACUUGGUUGCCUAUACAGUUCAUAGACAAGUAAAUGGAAACUACUAAAAGCCUCAAGAUAAGUGUGAGUGCCGAGGAGGGCUCUUCCGUAGGAAGACGGAGGUGGAUCCUCGGUAGUGUAUUGAAGUGGUGAGUAGUGGACUCGUGUGCGCAAAACCAUUUCAAGUUGGAGUAUCGUAGGAUAGCCUAGCCAAGAGUCAAAGCUGGCUUGCUGCAAUAACUCCACCAACCCUUCUUGAUACUAUGCAUGUAUGUAGGAUCUGAUGUAAGUCUUGCUGAGUACCUUUGUACUCAUGUUGCUAUAAUCUACAUUUUACAGAAGACGCUGCAACCCCUUCUGAUGGGUUCUAUGUAGACGUUGACAUCAACGAGUAGGCUAAAGACCCAGGUGGUGACCCUGAGCUUGUGAUGGACCACGUAGUAUAGUUAGGCUUUCCAAGCCUCUUUUAUUUUACUAGUUGUCUGUACUCAGACAAUGUACUUCCGCUGCUGGUUUGUAUGACUGUAUGACUUGUAUGUUGGGUCGUGAGACCCGUACCUUGGUGUAUGUUAUGUAUGGCUCCCUGAGCCUUAAAUAAAGUACUUGUGUCAUAGAGUCAUGUUGUGAUGCUUCGUUGUAUUUGCACAUAUCGAGCAUAUUGUGUGUAUGAUUGAAAUGCUUGGUAUGUGUGGGAUCUGACUAUCUAGUUGUUUAUCUUUAGUAGCCUCUCUUACCGGGAAAUGUCUCCUAGUGUUACCGCUGAGCCAUGGUAGCUUGCUACUGCUCUGGAACACUUAGGCUGGCCGGCAUGUGUCCUUCUUCGUUCCUGUGUCUGUCCCUUCGGGGAAAUGUCACGCUUUGAGUACCGGAGUCCUGUUAGCCCGCUACAGCCCGGUUUACCGGAGUCCUGCUAGCCCAGUGUUACAGCCCGGACCCAUUUGCUGAUGACCGACACGUUCGGAGCUGGGUCAUGGAUGCCUGUCCCUGUAAGUCUGUGCCACUUUGGGUUUACGACUAGUCAUGUCAGCCCGGGCUCCUUAUCAUAUGGAUGCUAGCGACACUAUCAUAUCCUCGAUCAGGCCGAACGUACCACCCGACGUCAUAAUAUCAAGUUUCUCAAAGUUCAAUGGUCGCACCAUUCUGAGGAUGAAGCAACUUGGGAAAGGGAGGAUCGUCUUCGACUCGAGUAUCCCGCCUUCUUCCCGGAGGAACCCAAAUCUCGGGACGAGAGUCUUUUGAGUGGGGGUGAGUUGUCACACCCUAGCUAGUCAUGCAUCAGAGUGUGUGCAUCAUGUUUAAAUUUCCAUUUAAUUUGAAAUGGGGAUCUGUGAAACCCUCAGAAUCAUUUUGAAAAUGAUCCAAAUAAAAAUUUCUCCAAAAAGGUCCAAGAAAAUGCUCAUGUUGCUCUCUGAAAAUAUUGGACAGAGAUAAAAAUCAAACCAAUAUUUUUAAGAGCUCAUAGGUAUUUAUUUUGGGCAUUUGGAAUUAAUGCAUAAUUAUUUGCAUUGGAAAAAUAUUAUUUAUAUAUAUUAAUAUAUGUCCAAAUAUUAUGCCAUUUAUAAAGGAGCUCUAGAAUAAUAUAUCUAGCUCCUGCAAAAAUUGGCAUAAGUUAAAUAAAUGAUUUAAUAUAUUAUUUAAAUCAAAACAAAUGUCAGAAAUUAGAAAAAACAGAAAUAAAUAACAGGAGGAGCUUACCUGGGCUCCUCCACUGUGCGGCCCAGCCAGCAGCCGGCCCAGCCCACCUCCCUUCUCUGUCGUCUUCGUCCCGACAGAGGGAGGGGAGUGUGGCCGGCGCGCGCGCGUGCCACCGCGCCACGCCACCUCCCUCGCUGCCUUCCUGCCCUCCCCUCCUCGCCUCGAUGCCCCUGGACGACGCCACGCCUCCCCCCUGCUCUCUCUCACUCUCCCGCAGUUCUUCCCUCCUCUCCCUCGCUCUCUCUCUCACACGGCCGAACACCACCCUCGCCGCCGUUCGCCACAGCAGCCGUCUCCGGCCACCCCUCGCUCCCCCGACUAGCUCAGAAGCUCCGCCACGACCCCCUCUUCCCUCUCCACCGACCCACAGCUCCCCGGAAGCCCUGCAUCGCCGCCACGUCGCCGUUCCCCUCUUCGGGCUCCGACCAUCGUCGCCGUCGAAUUCGUCGUCUCCAGCGCGUUCCCGAGCCCGCUAACCAUCCCUGCAGCUCCGCGGUGAGCCCCCGGAUCGUUUCCCCCUUCUCCCCUGGUCUCUUCCGACCUCUAGGCCGUAGCCCCACCUUGGCCGAGAGCUCCACGCCGCCGGCGAUGUCGCCGUCGUGGCCACGGUCACCGUAGCACCCAACCGAGCACACUAUCGUGCUCCACACCUCACUAGGAGUACGCAGCACGCGCUAACGCCUCCCCAAACCCCCUGCAACACCGAUCCCGACCGCACCCGAACUCCGGCGGCCGCAGCCGAGCUCGCCGCCGUCGACUCCGGCCACCCCAGGCCCAUCCACGGCCACCGUUCGACGCGCGGGAGCAAGAGCUUUCCAACGAGCCCAAGCACGGCCUCGCCCGUGCCCUGUAGCGCGAUCCCGCGUCGCGCCGCCGUCUCGGACCUCGCCGGCGUCACGUCGCCGGUGGGUUUGACCCACUUUGACCACGGCAGGACACCCCCUGAGUCCCUGACAGGUGGGCCCAGCCCUGUAGCUAAUUAGGAUUAGUGCUAACCACUGUUAGUUAACCCCCUGACACUGACCAGUGGGCCCCAGCGCCACUAAUCCCUAAUUAGGAUUAAUUUAAACCUGUUUAACCCCCUGUCACUGACGUGUGGACCCCACACGUCAGGUUUGACUCCAGCCAGCCGCAGUUGACCACUGACGUCAUGUUGACGUCAUGCUGGCGCAGUAAUUAUAAUUUCUGGAUUUAAAUUUAAUCAGGAAAUUCCAGAAUAUUAUUUAAACUUCAAAAAUUCAUAACUUUUAUUCUGUAACUCCAAAUUAGACAAAUUAUAUAUGAAAAAUGAUCAGAAAAAUCCAAUCUAUCCAUCUGUACUAUUUUCAUGCAUGAUCAAACAAGUUAAAUUGAUGUUUUAAGCAGAACAAGGAAAAGCACUUUAAAAGGCCAUGUUUGAGUUUGAAAUUUGAAUCUUUGAUUCAAAUUUGUUCAAACCCUUCUGGUUUUAGUUGCAUUAGCCCAACACACUCAUAUUGCCAUGUUUCAUGCAUGCAUCAUAUUGUCGCAUAUUGUUUGGUGAUGUUUGUGCAUCGCUGUCCUUUACGACAGGUUCUGCCUCCGAGGAGUACCGUGAUUACCCUAACGAAGAACCGUAUCAGUGCAUCGAACCAUCAGGCAAGCAACCAACCAUUUGAUCAUAUCGAUACAAUCCCAUGUUCUCGCUCCUGCUCUCUUUUACUGCAUUAAGACAACGCGUUUCAAACUGCUGUGUGCUACGGUAGUUGAACCCAUUUCCUCUGCAUGACCUGUCAUUGCCACAGUAACUAGAUGAAACCCACUAGCAUGUGUAGGAUUUGAUUGAGCCAUGUGUAUGUGUUGUUCCUACCUUGCUAUGCCUGCUAUGCUUAGAGUCGUGUCAGGUGUGGUUCAUCUGGGUGAUGGGCUAGAGUGAAAUGUUUAUGUCGGUAAUGAGAGUGGUGUGGUGAACACGAUUUGGUAAAGGUAUCGAUGAGAGGCCAUGUAGGAGUACAUGGUGGGUUGUUUCAUUGAAGCCGACCUUAAGCACUGAGAUCUGUAUAUGUGAUUUAAGAUACAGCUACUACCAUGCAUUGGGCCCUGAAAUAUGACCCCGCUCGACUUCUUAUUCACCCUAGCUCUCUGUCCAGGAGUUGCAAGUAGUUUCUGGUGUUUGUAGCCUACUGGAGGCCGUGGACAGCGCUGACCGUAGGGGUGGGCUGUGAUGCGGUAGGUACGUGGCCGGGUGUACCGAAUACCCGUUAGGUAUCUCGGGAACCCUGUUCACAUCGUUCGGGGUUGUAUGGGAAACCUCGGCCGGACUCCCUGCGGAUGGAACCUGAAUAGGCGAUAAACCUGGACUAGAGGCUUAAGUGUUUAGGUAGGUCGUGGUCUACACCCACGUCGGCUUUCGCUUGAAGUCUGCCGAGCACAUGUCGUGUGCAGACGCUAAGUGGUGGAAACAUGUAUGAAGAAGUACACCCCUGCAGGGUUAACAUGAUCUAUUCGAAUAGCCGCGUCCGCGGUAAAGGACUACUUGGUUGCCUAUACAGUUCAUAGACAAGUAAAUGGAAACUACUAAAAGCCUCAAGAUAAGUGUGAGUGCCGAGGAGGGCUCUUCCGUAGGAAGACGGAGGUGGAUCCUCGGUAGUGUAUUGAAGUGGUGAGUAGUGGACUCGUGUGCGCAAAACCAUUUCAAGUUGGAGUAUCGUAGGAUAGCCUAGCCAAGAGUCAAAGCUGGCUUGCUGCAAUAACUCCACCAACCCUUCUUGAUAAUAUGCAUGUAUGUAGGAUCUGAUGUAAGUCUUGCUGAGUACCUUUGUACUCAUGUUGCUAUAAUCUACAUUUUUAUAGAAGACGCUGCAACCCCUUCUGAUGGGUUCUAUGUAGACGUUGACAUCAACGAGUAGGCUAAAGACCCAGGUGGUGACCCUGAGCUUGUGAAGGACCACGUAGUAUAGAAGGCUUUCCAAGCCUCUUUUAUUUUGCUAGUUGUCUGUACUCAGACAAGUUACUUCCGCUGUUGGUUUGUAUGACUGUAUGACUUGUAUGUCGGGUCGUGAGACCCGUACCUUUGUGUAUGUUAUGUAUGGCUCCCUGAGCCUUAAAUAAAGUACUUGUGUCAUAGAGUCAUGUUGUGAUGCUUCGUUGUAUUUGCACAUAUCGAGCAUAUUGUGUGUAUGAUUGAAAUGCUUGGUAUGUGUGGGAUCUGACUAUCUAGUUGUUUAUCUUUAGUGGCCUCUCUUACCGGGAAAUGUCUCCUAGUGUUACCGCUGAGCCAUGGUAGCUUGCUACUGCUCUGGAACACUUAGGCUGGCCGGCAUGUGUCCUUCUUCGUUCCCGUGUCUGUCCCUUCGGGGAAAUGUCACGCUUUGAGUACCGGAGUCCUGUUAGCCCGCUACAGCCCGGUUUACCGGAGUCCUGUUAGCCUAGUGCUACAGCCCGGACCCACUUGCUGAUGACCGACACGUUCGAAGCUGGGUCAUGGAUGCCUGUCCCUGUAAGUCUGUGCCACUUUGGGUUUACGACUACUCAUGUCAGCCCGGGCUCCUUAUCAUAUGGAUGCUAGCGACACUAUCAUAUACGUGAGCCAAAAGGCGCAAACGGUCCCGGGAAAAGGUAAGACGAUACCCGUGGGGAUACCGUGCGUGAGGCCGCAAAGUGAUAUGAGGUGUUACCGGCUAGAUCGAUGUGACAUCGAGUCGGGGUCCUGACACACUACCAAACUGUAAUCGUGAUCCUUACGACGAUCACUACCAAACUGUAACCGUGAUCCUUACGGCGAUCACAACCCGACCAAUAAAUGGCCCGUGAUCCUUACGGCGAUCACAACCCGACCAAUAAAUGGCCCGUGAUCCUUACGGCGAUCACAACCCGACCAAUACUUGGCCAAUCUGUACUACUCCAAAUUUCCAUCAACUAUACGUCAUUCCGUCAGGUGGGUGUUGAUCGAAUGGUGUACCCUAGUACGAACCCAUGCCCAUGACCGAGGAUGCGGCUAUCGAUAGAUUAAACACACACUCUGCAGAGGUAGCGCAUUGUACCCACACCACAGAACCCAUGGCCUCACCCUCCCAUCCGGGUGGACCAACGGCGUUCCGACAAAACCGAUCUACUGCCAUGACACUCUCCCGGCCACUCCGACUCACUCCCCACUGGGCUAAGUCAUGGGUGGCCCCGUGUCUACCUCCAGACACAAUGACCACCGUCGUGGUCCGUCCCACAUGGGGACAUGGAUCCAAAAACUAACUCAACAACGGACACACAAGGUUAUGCUCCGCCUACCUGAUCAGGGUAGCACGCGCCCAUAACCUUCCCUCAUUGGAGGCACCGGAGAGGCACAACAAUAGACCGCAUUAGGGCCGUCCCAUAACAGCAAAUGUGGUUGCACUGGAAAAGUUCGAUUCGGCGGCACCUGACCAACUUACUGAUGGAAUUUAUCCACAAAACUAUAACCAUGAUAACUGAUACUCCAAUGUCAACCAUCAAACUAUAAUCCAAGCCGUAGCAAUAUCCAACAAAUAACCCAAACAUAAUAUCCUCAUGCCAAAAUACUCCAAGGAUAGCAUAAUACUACUGUCAUGAUGAACAAUAACACUACUACUUCAACUAAGAUCCACAUGUAACCAUCAUCUCCGAAAAUAAUACUCCAAGCAACAGAACAUCAACUAGCAUCAUGAAAAUAAUCAUACCAACCACUACUAAUCCAAAGGUAGCAUGAUAUCCAAAGUAAUACUCCAAAACAUACUAAUAGAUAUCAUCAUGAAACACUCACAAUAUCAGCCACUAAUAUUCCAAUGGCAACAUGAUACUCAUCUACUACAAACAUAACUCCUAGUAAUCCAAACCAUAGCAUGGCAAUAACAAGAUCAAAUCAAUACUCCGAGAAAAUGCCAUGCACAAAGUCAUGUUGCUAAAGCAAUAUUUUAAACAAGUUCAAAAUGAAUUAAACCAUGUCACUGCAUUGCAAUCAUGCAAAUGGAGGGUGUGGCUUGCCUGGGGUGGAAGAAAUCAUCGGAAGAAAGUGCGAGAAGCUCGCGGAAAGAAUCGCCAGAAAUCGUUCUCUCUCGGAGGGGGGCUGAUUAAGGGCAGGGGCAAAAUGGUCAUUUUCAGUAUGCCAAAACAUAAUGCAAGUGACACCAACAGAAAGGGCUCGACGAAACGAAGAAGUGAGCGUUGGUUCACCUUAAACGGAGUUACGGUUGAAAAGUUAUGAAGGGUUGAAUCUCAGGGACUUUUCUGCAAAAAUUUCUUUAGCAAACAGGUCCUUGAGUGGAUAAGGCAGA